AGGUCGCGGCUGGCGGUUCAAACAGAACUAACAAGAGCUGUUAGCUAUUUAAUUUUGGAUUGAUGUGAGAAUUUGGGUAGAUAAUUAUGUCUAAACUAUUCUAAACCAUAGUUUAGAAUUUACUAGGACUUGUGUAAACAAAUGUUUAUCUAUGGGUGUAAAUUAAUUAGAAUAAACAUAAACCAAGGCUGUCGAGUGAUCGUUGCAACGCAUCCGAUUGUACAACAAACAAUAGCGAUGACGGAAUACCAGGAGGACAGAAACCAUCCAGGAAAGCCGGUGUUAGCACAGCACUGUUUUAUAUGCCAGAACUUCGCGUGGAAUUUUAUGUCAAAAAAAAGAAAUAACUUAAUAUUAAAGCAAUUUUAAAGGCAAUCGUAAAUAAAUGACGUUUGAAAGUGAA